AACGAACGCUGGCGGCAUGCCUAACACAUGCAAGUCGAACGAGACCUCCGGGCCUAGUGGCGCACGGGUGCGUAACGCGUGGGAACCUGCCCUUAGGUUCGGAAUAACUCCCCGAAAGGGGUGCUAAUACCGGAUAAUGUCUUCGGACCAAAGAUGUACUGCCUUUGGAUGGGCCCGCGUUGGAUUGGCUAGUUGGUAGGGUAAUAGCCUACCAAGGCGUCGAUCCAUAGCUGGUCGGGGAGGAGGAUCAGCCACGCUGGGACUGAGGCACGGCCCAGAAUCGUACGGAAGGGAGCGGUGGGGAAUAUUGGGCGAGGAACGAUGGCCUGAUACAGCAGUGCCGCGUGAGAGAUGAAGGCCUUAGGGUUGUAAAGCUCUUUUACCCGAGAUGAGAGUGACGGUACCGGGAGAAUAAGCACCGGCUAACUCCGUG
rnacentral:rRNA from 1 species